GCCCCGGAACCGAUUCGGGUGGGUGGAUGGGGAGGAGAAGCAGCGACAGCGAGGGCUGGGCCUGCGAAGCGGGGCAGGGGCGGAAGUUGUUCCUCAGGGCGGCGGAUCGGCGGAGGGAGGGUAGCCGCCAUGGCUGUGCGAUGGGUUUUAGGCUUAUGCCGGUAGCAGAGUCCUUUUCCCUUUUCCCCGCGAGGGAAAGCGUAGGAUCUCCCUGAAAUCUCCCUUCUGUCAUUUCCCCCUUUAUUCCGGCAGGGAGGAAAGGAAACUCUAAAACCUUCCUUCUGAAAUGUGGAAUUUCCGAUUGAUCCAGAAUAAGACACUCCCCCCCCCUCCAUCGAAGGGUAAACAUAUAGUGUACUGCACUCACAAGGCGUCUUCUGCUGUAGCCUUUGCUGCUCUGAGGCAGUUCAUCCAGGAUGCCAAGCCUCGUCUGUCAAGUUAGAAUUUGGCCCCGGAACCUCCCUCGCCCCUUUUAAAACUAUUUAUCUAUAUCUCUAGCUCUAGGCUGCCUUCCAUUUCAGCAGUGAUUGACUCCGAUCAGCCGCUCGCCCAUAGAAUCAAUAUAAUUGUACAGAUGGAAGGUACCUGUGUUAACCACGUUGCUGGAGUUAGGGGGAAGGAAGCCCCACUGAAGCCGACGAGGGUUAACGCCCAAACAAGCAUGCGUGGGAUUACUCCAUUGAGCGCUGGUUUUACUCCCACAAAUGCUCAGAGACCAAAGCUUUGUUUCAGAGAUACUCUGGGUCAACCAAUCUGCUUUAGAGUGAUGGAACCCACAGCAUUCUUAGACUUGCAGUCUUAAGACUUCCACUUACUUAGAUGUAAUCUGCAUAGAACUCAAGGGUACUUAUUUCUGAGCAACUAUGCACAUUUGGGUGCAAAGCAUGGGGAGGCAAUCCGCAGUGGCAAAAGGGUGCUGGGGGGGGGGGGAGAGAAAUAGGAUCACUCCCCACUUGCUACAAACUGUGACUUCUAUUUCCAGACAAAGACAAACAUGGGAUAGAUCGUGAUGUAGUCAACGUUUAGUCCUGUUUAGUCCUUAGGGAGACCUAUUAUGAAGUAUUGGAAAGAAUGCAUCACUUUUCAGUCUUAUAAUUGACUGGUGCAGCAGUAUAUGAAUAUUUACAUUUUAAAUAGGAUGGUUCAAAGGCAGGACACAACCAAGAACACCAAUGUUCUGAACAUAUGCAACUAGGGCAGAAUAAUUUAUCUUUGCAGUAUUCCUUGUGUUAAAGAUCUGCAAACUUUUAACUUUAUUCUUCCUCACAAUCAGACACAUUUGGGAAUUAAAUUAUACUUUAUUUGGAACAACUUCACCCUUACAUGUAUUAACCCCUUAGUCCUCACCCAAAUUCAUUCAUGGUGAGCCUGUUUUUAAGGAACAGGCUUAAUGGAAUAUUUUACAUAAUAAUGAACCGAAUGCCUUUAAUAAGGUACUAUAAAAUCCUAGUAUGAACACAUGUUCUAACAACAAAUAAAAGUACCGUAGUAGGUAACUAUACGACUGUCUAAUCAUGUUGUUCUCCAAUAGAACCAUUCAGAUGACCAUUUUACCACAAUUUUGUACCUGUUGGACAGCAAAAACCCUCUCUUCUGCUUUGUACAAUGAUAUAUCCAACCAACAGUGCAAUCCUAACUUUACUCCCAGGUAAAUGGGAAUGAGAUGUUGGGGUGUAGGGAGGUGACAACUCACCCUGGAACAAUUUGGUCAUUAUUUUGAACAAAAGUCAGAAUGCCUUCAGGAAUACAAAUGCAAAAUAGGCAUAUCUUACAUCGCAGCAAUAUAGGAUUUACCGGUAAUUCCUUGCUUCCAUUAGCAGGGCUUCAGUAAUCAUGUUACUACUCUUACCCAUCUAGUAGGAUAAAACAGCAAUGUAACCAUUUUUAUCAGGUAUUUGUUUUUAUCUCUUAUAUAAAAGGUUUUGCCUUAUUUUAAAAGACGAAGGUUGUAGAUAAAUUGAAAUGGAUAAGUCUAUUUCAUUUCCACACUCACAUUUUUGUUAAGAAGGUUGGGUAAGUGGCUGAAGCUAAUAUGGAUACAAAACAGCUUUGAUGGAUGACAAAGGAGAUUAAAUAUCAUUGGUGGUAGUUUUGCAGUAAGAUGUGGAGAAUAGGGAGGAAGAAAAGAUGCCAUCCAUAUUGAGCUUGAGAAAACAAUUCCUUUUUAGUAGGAUCUUAGUAUAAUAAUUAUAAAGCAUUAUUUAUGCACAGCAGUGUCAACAGUUGUCAUUGGCAAUAUACAUUAGCCUAGCAAACCUAGGAAAACAAUGCUGGCAGUGGGAGAUAAAUCCUUGACCUAAAUUUAAAAUCUAAAUAAAUAGAAUCAAAAUUGCUGGAGUUAAAUUCUAGUUCAGUGAUGUAACACUUUGAAGCAGAUUUGAGAUGGGAGUCCUAUACAACUUUGUAAUGUGGUGGCAAAAAAAGUGAAAUAAAAGUCUGUUGGUGGAAUAUUUCUCCAAACAUGAUUUAGGUCUUAAACAAGAAAAGGGCAUUCUGUCUCACUACAGGUGUAAAAAGCAACUCAGCAAAGCUAACAUGAUAACAUUGAUUCCUGCUGUUGUAAAUAAUCAUUGCGCUUCUAUUGUAUUGUACUAUUGUAUGGAAAUGUUAUGUAUCUCUUCCAUUCUACACACUGUAACCAUACAUCUGUUUACUGUUUACUGAAUAACACUCGAUGCGUG
rnacentral:lncRNA from 1 species